rnacentral:rRNA from 5 species
AGACCCGAAACCCGGUGAUCUAGCCAUGGGCAGGUUGAAGGUUGGGUAACACUAACUGGAGGACCGAACCGACUAAUGUUGAAAAAUUAGCGGAUGACCUGUGGCUGGGGGUGAAAGGCCAAUCAAACCGGGAGAUAGCUGGUUCUCCCCGAAAGCUAUUUAGGUAGCGCCUCGUGAAUUCAUCUCCGGGGGUAGAGCACUGUUUCGGCUAGGGGGCCAUCCCGGCUUACCAACCCGAUGCAAACUGCGAAUACCGGAGAAUGUUAUCACGGGAGACACACGGCGGGUGCUAACGUCCGUCGUGAAGAGGGAAACAACCCAGACCGCCAGCUAAGGUCCCAAAGUCAUGGUUAAGUGGGAAACGAUGUGGGAAGGCCCAGACAGCCAGGAUGUUGGCUUAGAAGCAGCCAUCAUUUAAAGAAAGCGUAAUAGCUCACUGGUCGAGUCGGCCUGCGCGGAAGAUGUAACGGGGCUAAACCAUGCACCGAAGCUGCGGCAGCGAACGUAUCACUUAAAGCGAUUCAGCGGGUUACGAUUGACGGAGCGAAGCGACGUCAAAGCGUAUACAAAGUCGAGUCGGUUUAAGGAUACGUUCGUUGGGUAGGGGAGCGUUCUGUAAGCCUGUGAAGGUGGCCUGUGAGGGUUGCUGGAGGUAUCAGAAGUGCGAAUGCUGACAUAAGUAACGAUAAAGCGGGUGAAAAGCCCGCUCGCCGGAAGACCAAGGGUUCCUGUCCAACGUUAAUCGGGGCAGGGUGAGUCGACCCCUAAGGCGAGGCCGAAAGGCGUAGUCGAUGGGAAACGGGUUAAUAUUCCCGUACUUGGUGUUACUGCGAAGGGGGGACGGAGAAGGCUAUGUUGGCCGGGCGACGGUUGUCCCGGUUUAAGCGUGUAGGUGUGUGUUCCAGGUAAAUCCGGUUCACUUUAACACUGAGGCGUGACGACGAGGCACUACGGUGCUGAAGCAACAAAUGCCCUGCUUCCAGGAAAAGCCUCUAAGCAUCAGGUAACAUCAAAUCGUACCCCAAACCGACACAGGUGGUCAGGUAGAGAAUACCAAGGCGCUUGAGAGAACUCGGGUGAAGGAACUAGGCAAAAUGGUGCCGUAACUUCGGGAGAAGGCACGCUGACACGUAGGUGAAGUGAUUUACUCAUGGAGCUGAAGUCAGUCGAAGAUACCAGCUGGCUGCAACUGUUUAUUAAAAACACAGCACUGUGCAAACACGAAAGUGGACGUAUACGGUGUGACGCCUGCCCGGUGCCGGAAGGUUAAUUGAUGGGGUCAGCGCAAGCGAAGCUCCUGAUCGAAGCCCCGGUAAACGGCGGCCGUAACUAUAACGGUCCUAAGGUAGCGAAAUUCCUUGUCGGGUAAGUUCCGACCUGCACGAAUGGCGUAAUGAUGGCCAGGCUGUCUCCACCCGAGACUCAGUGAAAUUGAACUCGCUGUGAAGAUGCAGUGUACCCGCGGCAAGACGGAAAGACCCCGUGAACCUUUACUAUAGCUUGACACUGAACAUUGAGCCUUGAUGUGUAG